rnacentral:rRNA from 1 species
CUGCUCAAUGAUUUUUUAAAUUGCUGUGGUAUUUUGACUAUACGAAGGUAUUGAAAUAAGACUUUAAAUGAGUGCUAAGAGAAUGGUUUAACAAUUAAAAACUUUCUUUAAAUUAAAAAUUAAAGUUAAUUUUAUUGUGAGGAAGCAAAAAUGAAUAUUAGGGACAAGAAGACCCUAUGAAUUUAUUAAUAAGUAUAUUAGUAAUAAUUUUAUUGCUGUAAAUUAUUUUUGUAGGGACGAUGUAAAAAGAAUAAUUAUCUUUUUUUAUUUAAUUAAUUUUGAUCCGUUUAUAACGAUAACAUGAUAAAAAUACUCUAGGGAUAACAGCGUAAUAAUUUUGGAUAGUUCAUAUAGAUAAAAUAGUUUGCGACCUCGAUGUUGGAUUAGGAUACUUUUUUGGUGAAGAAGUUUUAUAAAAGAAGUUUGUUCAACUUUUAAAUUCCUACUUGAUCUGAGUUCAGACCGG